UACAGCCAUACCAUCUUGAGUGUCUGAUCCCUUCUGAACUUAGAAGCUAAGCAGGGUCGGGUCUGGUUAGUCCUUGGAUGGGAGAACUCGGAGGACAGGUUUGCACAGUGCUGGAG
rnacentral:rRNA from 1 species